rnacentral:piRNA from 1 species
UACCACCAGGUGCUCUAAGCACAGCAGGUUUG